GUGAGGAAUAUUGCGCAAUGGAGGCAACUCUGACGCAGCCAUGCCGCGUGCAGGAAGAAGGCGCUACGCGUUGUAAACUGCUUUUAACCGGGAAGAAACCCCAGGACGUGUCCUGGGUUGACGGUACCGGAGGAAUAAGCACCGGCUAACUUCGUGCCAGCAGCCGCGGUAAUACGAAGGGUGCAAGCACUAUCCGGAUUCAUUGGGUUUAAAGGGUGCGUAGGCGGAGCGUUAAGUCAGUGGUGAAAUCCUGCAGCUUAACUGUAGACUUGCCAUUGAUACUGGCGCUCUUGAGUGCGCUUGAAGUGGGCGGAAUGUGCCGUGUAGCGGUGAAAUGCUUAGAUAUGGCACAGAACACCAAUUGCGAAGGCAGCUCACUAAGGCGAUACUGACGCUGAGGCACGAAAGCGUGGGGAUCGAACAGGAUUAGAUACCCGUGUAGUCC
rnacentral:rRNA from 1 species